GAUGAACGCUGGCGGCGUGCUUAACACAUGCAAGUCGAACGGAAAGGCUCCUGCUUGCAGGGGUACUCGAGUGGCGAACGGGUGAGUAACACGUGGGUGAUCUGCCCUGCACUUCGGGAUAAGCCUGGGAAACUGGGUCUAAUACCGGAUAGGACGAUGGUUUGGAUGCCAUUGUGGAAAGUUUUUCGGUGUGGGAUGAGCUCGCGGCCUAUCAGCUUGUUGGUGGGGUAAUGGCCUACCAAGGCGUCGACGGGUAGCCGGCCUGAGAGGGUGUACGGCCACAUUGGGACUGAGAUACGGCCCAGACUCCUACGGGAGGCAGCAGUGGGGAAUAUUGCACAAUGGGCGCAAGCCUGAUGCAGCGACGCCGCGUGGGGGACGACGGCCUUCGGGUUGUAAACUCCUUUCGCUAGGGACGAAGCGCAAGUGACGGUACCUGGAGAAGAAGCACCGGCUAACUACGUG
rnacentral:rRNA from 1 species